UUUUUUAAUACAGCAACAUAAAUAAAAAAAAAUAUAUGAAGUGUCAAUUAUUAUGUGGCGAACGUAAACACUGGAUGAGACUUGAGAAGCUGCAUAUUCUUCAACAUCAUAUUAUAAUAAAGUACUUUAUUCUUUUAUUAUUAAUUGCAAAACGCUUAGGCUUCUUCGUUUUAGUUGUUUGUGCUCAGACAGAAAUGGGAGAGAAUUGUGAGCCCACUCUUCAAGAAAUAGCCUUCAUUAGAUCCGAAGUUCACAAACAUAUUGAUCAAAAUGGCGAAGAUUUAUUCUAUCCAGAAGAUGUUCAGCGUCUUGAUGGUGAAGAUCAAUAUGUCAUUCGAUUUUGUAAGCAUGUUAGUGAAGCAAAGGAAAGUUAUGUGGAACCCACUAUUCAAAUGAUUAUUUCAACGUUUCAAUGGAGGAAGAAUUUUGGAACACGAGAUCUGAACCAUAAAACAAUAUCAGAGGUUUUGAAGACUAAAGGAGCACUCUAUAUGCGAAAUAGGGAUCAAGAAGGAAAGAGACUGCUCGUUUUUUCUGUUAGGAAUCACUAUAAGGGUACCGAGAAUAUGAACGAAAUGAAGAAAUUCUUCAUAUAUUUCCUUGAGAGAAUUGAUAGAGAGGAUGGCGGAAAUCAAAUUACUCUGAUUUUCGACUGUACAUCUGCAGGGAUGAAGAACAUGGAUAUUGAGUUUAUUCAGUAUAUGAUCAAUGUCUUCAAGGACUACUAUCCUUGGUACCUGAACAACAUUCUCAUUUUUGAAAUGCCAUGGGUAUUAAAUGCUGCUUUUAAAAUAAUUAAAGGAAUGCUACCUCCACCCGCAGUCAAAAAGAUCAAAUUUAUUACUAAGACUACGAUAACAGGAUAUAUCGAAGAAGAUCAAGUUUUGAGUAUUUGGGGAGGAUUUGAUGAUUGGAUUUACGAAUUUGUUCCAGAAAAAGAACAACAACAAGAAGAAGAAAAGAAAAGAUCUGUUUCUUUUUCUUCCGAAGUAAAGGAUCAUUCUUCCCUUGAAAUCCACUCUCCAAUUAGCAUUCCAGUUCCAAAAGUUAAACUUUUACUCAUUCAUCCAGCUAGUGAAAUUAUAUUCCAUCAAAAUAGUGCCGACAAUCUUUUAGGGAAAUUCCAAGUGACGAAUAUAUCUGAAGGUCCAACAUUCUUUAAGAUCAAAACAACAUCUCCAGGAAAAUAUAAAGUCCGUCCGAGUAUGGCUAACUUAGAUACCAAUGAAUCCUGUUUUGUGGAGAUCUAUGUUUCCCGUAACUCAAUCGAGUGCAAUAAAGACAGAUUUCUUAUAACUUUGUAUAAGACAGACAAAACUGGUUUGACUAAUGAGGAUAUUGCUGAAAUAGCUAAAACCUCAUCUCCAGAUGAAGAUUUUAGAUUAAAAUGUCGUUUAGAUGUAUCUAUAGCACCUUCACCUCCAAAAAUUCAGUCUAUUUUACCUACAAGUGCUCACUCUACCUCAAAAACUAGCAAUGAUUCGUUAAAGAAAAGUGAUGAUUUAUUAUCAAAAAAAGUUAAUCAAUUGGUAAAUAAUCAGCGAGAACUCAUGGACGAAGUAUUAUUUAUUAAGAAAUUACUUAUUUACACCGUCGUUAUUUCCUUUUUAAUAGUUUGUUUGUUAAAACUUGGUUACCUUUGAGUUUAUUUACUUAUUUACAUAUAAUGCCCUUUUAUUUAAUUGUUUUAAAAUCGACCUUAAUGUUAUUACCCCUACUUAGUCUUUAACUAAUUUUAUCAAAUUCAAUAAUAAGCUUUAACUUAAUUUCCAAGCCAUAGUGACGGGGAAAUACAUACAUAUUAUAGUAUCGGUGCACAUAUUUGAUAAUAAUUUAAUACCCCUUCAGAAUGAAUUUUUUGUGCGAACAUUGUUUUUUUUUUUUUUUUAUUUGACAUAAUAUAUGCAAAUCAAUCUGAUACUGCUCUAAAAAGGGUUUUGAUACUUAAUGCAUUUCUCAAUUGUAAUGUGAUGCUUCUCGUUGAUUAAUAAUUAUACAUAAUAAUUAUGUCCAAAUCUUUUUAUAGAGAUUAUAGGUUAUUGUUGGAUUCCUUCUCUAAUUUUUUAAUUUACAGAGUAAGAAGAGAUUAAUAAUUUAAUUUUUUUAUUAACAUUUAAAUGCAAUCUAAUUAAUAGUUACCUAUAUAUUGUCAAUAAAAUAAUCAAAAAAGGAAUAACUGUGAUUUAAAUUUCGUAAUAUUUGUUUCUAAUUAUCAAUUUUAGUUGUUUUAUAAUAUAUAUAUUAAUUUACUUAAAGAAAUAUAGAUGUAUCCAGUACUUAA
rnacentral:misc_RNA from 1 species